UACGUAGGGGGCAAGCGUUGUCCGGAAUCAUUGGGCGUAAAGCGCGCGUAGGCGGCCCUGUAAGUCCGUUGUGAAAGUCAAAGGCUCAACCUUUGAAAGCCGAUGGAUACUGCAGGGCUAGAGUCCGGAAGAGGCGGGUGGAAUUCCUGGUGUAGCGGUGGAAUGCGCAGAUAUCAGGAGGAACACCGGUGGCGAAGGCGGGUCUCUGGGCAACAACUGACGCUGAGGAGCGAAAGCGUGGGGAGCGAACAGG
rnacentral:rRNA from 1 species